AAACAAUAAACCUUUUUACCAAAUGGGACCUUUUUACUGAUUUCCACUUUUAUUCCAAUUAUAAAAUAAUAAUCCAAUAAUAAUAAUCCCAAUAAUUAUUAUUCCCAAAAAUAAUAAUAUUAAUCCAAACUUCCAAUUAUUCAAUUAAAUUAAUAAAUAAAAUAUUAAUUUAAAUUAAAUAAUUAGCUUAUUUUAAUUGGGGUGUUACA
rnacentral:lncRNA from 1 species